GAGCCGUAACACAGGUGCUGCAUGGCUGUCGUCAGCUCGUGUCGUGAGAUGUUGGGUUAAGUCCCGCAACGAGCGCAACCCUUGUCAUUAGUUGCUACAUUCAGUUGGGCACUCUAAUGAGACUGCCGGUGACAAGCCGGAGGAAGGUGGGGAUGACGUCAAGUCCUCAUGGCCCUUAUAGGUGGGGCUACACACGUCAUACAAUGGCUGGUACAAAGGGUUGCCAACCCGCGAGGGGGAGCUAAUCCCAUAAAGCCAGUCGUAGUCCGGAUCGUAGUCUGCAACUCGACUACGUGAAGUCGGAAUCGCUAGUAAUCGUGGAUCAGAAUGUCACGGUGAAUACGUUCCCGGGUCUU
rnacentral:rRNA from 1 species